rnacentral:rRNA from 1 species
GACGAAGGGUGCAAACGUUGCUCGGAAUUAUUGGGCGUAAAGAGCUCGUAGGCGGUCCGUUAAGUCGGAAGUGAAAUCUCAAGGCUCAACCUUGAAAUCGCUUUCGAUACUGGCGGACUUGAGGCAGGUAGGGGAAGGUGGAAUUCCUGGUGUAGCGGUGAAAUGCGCAGAUAUCGGGAGGAACACCAAUGGCGAAGGCAGCUCGCUGGGACGUGACUGACGCUGAGACGCGAAAGCGUGGGGAGCAAACAGG